GUAGGUGGCAAGCGUUGUCCGGAAUUAUUGGGCGUAAAGCGCGCGCAGGCGGUCCUUUAAGUCUGAUGUGAAAGCCCACGGCUCAACCGUGGAGGGUCAUUGGAAACUGGGGGACUUGAGUACAGAAGAGGAAAGCGGAAUUCCAAGUGUAGCGGUGAAAUGCGUAGAGAUUUGGAGGAACACCAGUGGCGAAGGCGGCUUUCUGGUCUGUAACUGACGCUGAGGCGCGGAAGCGUGGGGAGCAAACAGGGAUUAGAUACCCUGGUAGUCCACGCCGUAAACGAUGAGUGCUAAGUGUUAGGGGGUUUCCCGCCCCUUAGUGCUGCAGCUAACGCAUUAAGCACUCCGCCUGGGGAGUACGCCGCAAGGCUG
rnacentral:rRNA from 1 species